CCUACGGGUGGCAGCAGUGGGGAAUAUUGGACAAUGGGCGAAAGCCUGAUCCAGCCAUGCCGCGUGUGUGAAGAAGGCCUUCGGGUUGUAAAGCACUUUCAGUGGGGAAGAAAGCCUUGGGGCUAAUACCCUCGAGGAAGGACAUCACCCACAGAAGAAGCACCGGCUAACUCCGUGCCAGCAGCCGCGGUAAUACGGAGGGUGCGAGCGUUAAUCGGAAUUACUGGGCGUAAAGCGCGCGUAGGCGGUCUGAUAAGCCGGUUGUGAAAGCCCCGGGCUCAACCUGGGAACGGCAUCCGGAACUGUCAGGCUAGAGUGCAGGAGAGGAAGGUAGAAUUCCCGGUGUAGCGGUGAAAUGCGUAGAGAUCGGGAGGAAUACCAGUGGCGAAGGCGGCCUUCUGGACUGACACUGACGCUGUGGUGCGAAAGCGUGGGUAGCAAACAGGAUUAGAUACCCGAGUAGUC
rnacentral:rRNA from 1 species